rnacentral:tRNA from 1 species
AAGGGUAUAGCUCUAGCGAUAGAGUGCAUGCUUAGCAUGUACGAGGUCCUGGGUUCAAUUCCCAGUACCUCCU